rnacentral:rRNA from 1 species
CAGUAGCCGCGGUAAUACGAAGGGUGCAAGCGUUAAUCGGAAUUACUGGGCGUAAAGCGUGCGUAGGCGGUGAGUUAAGUCUGCUGUGAAAUCCCCGGGCUCAACCUGGGAAUGGCAGUGGAUACUGGCUCGCUAGAGUGUGUCAGAGGAUGGUGGAAUUCCCGGUGUAGCGGUGAAAUGCGUAGAGAUCGGGAGGAACAUCAGUGGCGAAGGCGGCCAUUUGGGACAACACUGACGCUGAGGCACGAAAGCGUGGGGAGCAAACAGGAUUAGAUACCCCCGUAGUCCCUGUCUCUUAUAC